rnacentral:rRNA from 1 species
UACGAAGGUCCCGAGCGUUAUCCGGAUUUAUUGGGUUUAAAGGGUGCGUAGGCGGAUUAUUAAGUCAGUGGUGAAAGCCUACAGCUUAACUGUAGAAUUGCCAUUGAUACUGAUGAUCUUGAGUAUGAUUGAGGUGGGCGGAAUGUGUCAUGUAGCGGUGAAAUGCUUAGAUAUGACACAGAACACCAAUUGCGAAGGCAGCUUGCUACACUGUUAUUGACACUGAGGCACGAAAGCGUGGGGAUCAAACAGG